rnacentral:rRNA from 1 species
CGGCAGCACAAUAUGUAGCAAUACAUAUGGGUGGCGAGUGGCGGACGGGUGCGUAAUGUGUAGGGAUCUGCCCUGAAGUGGGGGACAACCCGGGGAAACUCGGGCUCAUACCGCAUAAUACUCUACGGAGGAAAUCUGGCUACGCAAGUAGCUGGGGCUUUAGGAUGAACCUACAUCCGAUUAGGUAGUUGGUGGGGUAAUGGCCUACCAAGCCGACGAUCUGUAGGUGGUCUGAGAGGGUGAUCACCCACACGGGGACUGAGACACGGCCCAGACUCCUGCGGGAGGCAGCAGUGGGGAAUAUUGGACAAUGGGCGCAAGCCUGAUCCAGCCAUGCCGCGUGGAUGAAGAAGGCCCUAGGGUUGUAAAGUCCUUUCGACGGAGACGAUAAUGACGGUAUCCGUAGAAGAAGCCCCGGCUAAUUUCGUGCCAGCCGCCGCCGUAA